CGAGUUAUGAUCCAGAGUACCACGAGACACGUGAAACCUUGUGGGAAGCAGGGAGGACCACCUCCCAAGGCUAAAUACUACCUGAUGACCGAUAGUGAAGCAGUACCGUGAGGGAAAGGUGAAAAGAACCCCGGGAGGGGAGUGAAAUAGAACCUGAAACCGUGUGCCUACAACCGCUCAGAGCCCCUUAUGAGGGUGAUGAGGUGCUUUUUGUAGAACGAGCCAACGAGUUACGGUAUGUAGCAAGGUUAAGUACUUAAGGUACGGAGCCGAAGGGAAACCGAGUCUGAAUAGGGCGACUAGUUGCAUGCCGUAGACCCGAAACCGGGUGACCUAUCCAUGGCCAGGUUGAAGCGAGGGUAAAACCUCGUGGAGGACCGAACCACGUUGCUGUUGAAAAAGCAUGGGAUGAGCUGUGGAUAGCGGAGAAAUUCCAAUCGAACCCGGAGAUAGCUGGUUCUCUCCGAAAUAGCUUUAGGGCUAGCGUCGAGUAUGAGUAGUGGAGGUAGAGCACUGAAUGGGCUAGGGGGCAUAGCGCUUACCGAACCUUAUCAAACUCCGAAUGCCACAUACUUUGAGCUCGGCAGUCAGACUACGAAUGAUAAGAUCCGUGGUCAAAAGGGAAACAGCCCAGAUCGUCAGCUAAGGUCCCAAAGUGUAAGUUAAGUGGGAAAGGAUGUGAGAUUUCUAAGACAACUAGGAUGUUGGCUUAGAAGCAGCCAUUCAUUAAAAGAGUGCGUAAUAGCUCACUAGUCGAGAGAUCUUGCGCCGAAAAUGUAACGGGGCUAAACUUACCACCGAAGCUACGGGCUUGAACU
rnacentral:rRNA from 1 species